GACAGAGGUGCCGAGCGUUAGGCGGAAUCACUGGGCUUAAAGCGUGUGUAGGCGGGCGGGUAAGUCACUUGUGAAAUCCCACGGCUCAACCGUGGAACGGCUGGGUAUACUGCCUGUCUUGAGCCAGCUAGGGGCGAGCGGAACAGACGGUGGAGCGGUGAAAUGCGUAGAUAUCGUCUGGAACGCCGAAGGUGAAAACAGCUCGCUGGGGCUGUGCUGACGCUGAGACACGAAAGCCAGGGGAGCGAACGGG
rnacentral:rRNA from 1 species